UCAAUGUGGAGGCUAUAUACAGGGGACACCGGUACAGAGUCAAUGUGGAGGCUAUAUACAGGGUGUUACAGUACAGAGUCAAUGUGGAGGCUAUAUACAGGGGGUACCGGUACAGAGUCAAUGUGGAGGCUAUAUACAGGGUGUUACAGUACAGAGUCAAUGUGGAGGCUAUAUACAGGGGAUACCGGUACAGAGUCAAUGUGGAGGCUAUAUACAGGGUAUUACGGUACAGAGUCAAUGUGGAGACUAUAUACAGGGUGUUACGGUACAGAGUCAAUGUGGAGGCUAUAUACAGGGUAUUACGGUACAGAGUCAAUGUGGAGGCUAUAUACAGGGUGUUAUGGUACUGAGUCAAUGUGAAGGCUAUAUACAGGGGGUACUGGUACAGAGUCAAUGUGGAGGCUAUAUACAGGGUAUUACGGUACAGAGUCAAUGUGGAGGCUAUAUACAGGGUGUUAUGGUACAGAGUCAAUAACGAGACUAUAUACAGGGUAUUCCGGUACAGAGUCAGUGUGGAGGCUAUAUACAGGGGUACCGGUACAGAGUCAAUGUGGUACAGAGUCAAUGUGGAGGCUAUAUACAGGGGGUACCGGUACAGAGUCAAUGUGGAGGCUAUAUACAGGGUAUUACGGUACAGAGUCAAUGUGGAGGCUAUAUACAGGGGGUUAUGGUACAGAGUCAAUGUGGAGGCUAUAUACAGGGGGUACCGGUACAGAGUCAAUGUGGAGGCUAUAUACAGGGGAUACCGGUACAGAGUCAAUGUGGAGACUAUAUACAGGGGGUUUUGGUACAGAGUCAAUGUGGAGGCUAUAUACAGGGGUAUUAUGGUACAGAGUCAAUGUGGAGGCUAUAUACAGGGGGUUACCGGUACAGAGUCAAUGUGGAGGCUAUAUACAGGGUGUUAUGGUACAGAGUCAAUGUGGAGGCUAUAUACAGGGUGUUAUGGUACAGAGUCAAUGUGGAAGCUAUAUACAG
ensembl:lncRNA